GACGUAGGGCGCGAGCGUUGUCCGGAUUUAUUGGGCGUAAAGAGCUCGUAGGCGGCUUGUUGCGUCGGCUGUGAAAACCCAUGGCUCAACCGUGGGCUUGCAGUCGAUACGGGCAGGCUAGAGUUCGGUAGGGGAGACUGGAAUUCCUGGUGUAGCGGUGGAAUGCGUAGAGAUCCGGAAGAACACCGGUGGCGAAGGCGGCCUGCUGGGCAGUUGCUGACACUGAGGCGCGACAGCGUGGGGAGCAAACAGG
rnacentral:rRNA from 1 species